AACCACUUCCACCAUUUCCUGGUUUCCAACCGAGUUUAUUCCAAGCAAGGAGCAGGCAGGAACGGAAAGCUGUUCCUGGAGGUACAUGCAUGGCUCACUCUGAGAACACCUUUAAAUACAACACCUGGGCUAGAAUCAUCUUUGUAAAAAGUGUGUGGCAUGCACCUGGCCUCCAAAUGCCCUGCCACUGGGUACUGGGCUCAGGCUCAGCUCUUGAAAAGCUGUAUAAAUAAUCUUUAUAAAACAAGGCUGACAGAAGAACAGUGGUCCAUGGGCUGCCCAGGACACGGGGCUGCAGCUGCCCUGAGCUGUGACCUCGAGGGACAGACGGUCUGGGGAGGACAGGAGCACAGCCAGGGAGCUGUGGAGGUGCUCAGCACAGGGAUCCUGUGGUGUGAGCAGAGUGGCAGCUGCUGGGGAAGAGCGGGAUCCAGCCUGGACGUGCCUUCAUCUGCGCCUGGCCCCAGCAGAGUGCGUGCACGGGGAAGGGAUUGCUAGCAGCUAGUGAGGAAACAGUGGAGAACGUGCAGGGACACUGCCUCAGCAUCACCCCCACCUCAGCAUCACCCACACCUCAGCAUCACCGAUACCUCAGCAUCACCCACACCUCGGCAUCACCCACACCUCAGCAUCACCCACAAUUCAGCAUCAUUGACACCUCAGCAUCACCCACACCUCAGCAUCAUUGACACCUCAGCAUCACUGAUACCUCAGCAUCACUGACACCUCAGCAUCACCCACACCUCAGCAUCACUGACCCACAACUCAGCAUCAUUGACACCUCAGCAUCACCCACACCUCAGCAUCAUUGACACCUCAGCAUCACUGAUACCCCAGCAUCACUGACACCUCAGCAUCACCCACACCUCAGCAUCACCCACACCUCAGCAUCACCCACACCUCGGCAUCAUUGACA
rnacentral:lncRNA from 12 species